GCAGUGAUUGUUCAGUGAUAGAAUUCUCACCUUCUAUGCAGGAGUCCUGGGUUCAAUUCCCAACCAAUGCG
rnacentral:tRNA from 1 species